rnacentral:lncRNA from 10 species
AAGUUUUCUGUGUUGGGAGAAGAUUUUUUUAAAUUGUAUUUCCCCAACAAUUCUGGUGAAAAGGGUGAGAUGACUGACAGUUACUGAAUUGAGCAGAUGAGUUGAAGGUCUGUGGCCAUGCAACAGUCAGAAAUAUACAGACAUACACCGGAGCAUGUUAUCAGUCUAAACCUCAUGAACAGAGACAUGCACUAGCUACUGUGUGGAAUUAUGCAAAAAGCAGACUUUACUUCUUUUAAGUUUCAAAUGCAUCAGCGUCCAGAAGAUACCACAUCAAAGGGUAUUGUGGCCAAGGGAAGCCAACUACCUUCCAUACUCCACAAUGGAACCCAUCUAAAAGGGUUGCUUGAUGGCAAUACUUAAAUCCUUUCUUCUAAAGCUCAGCUGGGAGAAGUUACACUGAUGUACCCACAAGGUAGGAACCGUGAGACUUAAAGUGGCAAGGACAUGGAAGAAUCUGCUGGAAGAAGUCAGCCACCUACGUUAACCAGGAGAUUUUAUUUACAUAAAAGUCUCCCCCAGUAAAGAUAAUUGCAUUGGAACAGACUUUUUGAAAUGUUGAUGAUCACCCACAGGACUAUCUAUGUGAAAAUAAUAAUGACCUUAAACCAACAACAACUUGAAAACUUGAUUUGUGUUUCUUAUAAGAAGCCAACUCCUUAGAGUGACUGGACUGAGGAUUCCACAAGGAAUUUGGACUUGAAAUUUUCAGAAGUUAUUGAUAUUGGUACUGAACUCAACUGAAGAGGUAUUCUUGCAAACAUAUUACUAGUUUCAUAGACUGCCUUGCUGUCUCAUUCAUAGCACGGUGGUUUCAGUUACUUUAAGGAUCACGUUUUUCUAGAAAACAAAUUUAUUUUUUACAUUACUUUUUCUUUCUGUACUCCCAGUAAUGGUUCCCACAAUCUCAUUUCCGAUCAGCUCCAAAUUGUACUCCAUAUAAAUAGGUUUUGAUUUACAAAUUGAAAAAUCUGAUUAUUUAUAAAGUAAAAAUGAAAAAAUCUUCAUUAGUCAUUUUUGAUAAUAACAUUUUAGCUAUUUUAGGUAAAAGUAGCUAAAAUGCAUGCAAGUACUUGGGCCCUAAAUUUGAUACAAAAAUGUUUUCACUGAUUUGAUUGGAGCAUGAGGUAGAAAAAAAUUAAUAGUAGACAAACAGAAAUCUAGCAUUUACACAUAGAGGUUGAAAAGACAGGUCUAAUGUCAUUCAAUUAACUUAGAGAUCCAAGUUGUGUCCAAUCUCAAAAUACUUAAAUAAACAAAGGUGAAUAUCUGUCAUUAAUGUAGAUUUAGUCAACUGCUACAAAAGUAUGACUAUUGAUUAAGGCCCAAUGCAAGAAAAAAAAGGCCCAUAAGACAGGUUUGUCCUCAACACUUAAUGAGAACCUUACACAUGAAGCACUGGAACUUUACUCUGUCCCAUUCAACAGCUACCUCAUAAUGAGGCUUUGAUAGUAGUUGAAGACUAUUCAUAUCUUUACGUCACACAUCAGAGAACUAUUAUUUGGGAAGACAGAACAAUUACUAAAAGACCUACAUUUUCAUAAAAAUGUAAUGGAACUUAUGUGAUUGACUGAAACUCAAAAUUUUUUGGGGGGUGGCCUUGCAAGGAAAACUUUUAGAUCAUCAGGUUUCACUGUAAAGCUACUUUCUAGUUUUAGAUUGGAUAAUGCUUUACAAGGAACUGCCAAAUAAUACCUAGAUAUUACCCAUUUGAAAAUACAAGCAAUAAGGUCAUCACAGCAAUUUUAAAAAUAAUUGUGUAACUAAGGAAAGUUUUCUGCAUUGCUAAUUAUAUUAUUCAGGCUUCUACAGAGAGACAGAGCUUAUAGUAUAUGGAUAUGGAUAUAUGUAUGUAUAUGAGAAGAUUUAUGUAUGUAUGUAUAUGAGAAGGUAUAAUUCAGUCUGAGUGUGAAGGCCUGAGAACCUGGAGUGCCAAUGUCCAAGGACAGGAAAAGAUUCAUGCCCCAGUUCAAACAGAAGCAAAUUUGUCCUUCCUCUAUCUUUUUUUUUUUUUUUUUGAAACAGAGUCUCACUCUGUCCCCCAGGGCUGGAAUGAAAUGGUGCAGUCUUGGCUUUCUUCCCUCAUUCAAGUGAUUCUUGUGCCUCAGCCUCCCGAAUAGCUGGGACUACAGGCGCACACCACCACGCUUGGCUAGUUUUUGUAUUUUUAGUAGAGAUGGGGUUUCACUAUGUUGGCCAGGCUGUUCUCAAACUCCUGACCUCGUGAUCUGCCCACUUCGGCCUCCCAAAGUGCUGGGAUUACAGGUGUGAGCCACUGCACCUAGCCUUCCUCUGCCUUUUUAUUGCACCAACCUAACAUUCAGACCCUCAAGGGAUUGGAUGAUGCCCCCUUGCAUUGUGGUGGGAGGAUCUGCUUUACUUAGUCCAACAUAAACCCAUCUCUUCCAGAAACAGCCUUACAAACAUGCUCAGAAAUAAUGUUUAAGCAGCUGUUUCGGCAUAUCCUGGACCACUGAAGUAGAUACAUAAAGUUAACCAUCACACUAGUUAAGAAUCUGAUGUAACCAUUAUCUAUUUAUAUGAUAAAUUCAAAGCUUAUUCCUACAACCAAUAGUGUAGAGACUUUUAAAAAUGUACUUGUUUUGUUGUUUUAUCAGAUUUCUGGCAAUUGCAUUGUGUUGUAUGUUACUGUCGACUUUCGGGUUAUUUAGAGGGCUGCAACUUGUCCAGAGAAAGAUGAAAAUAGCAAUGAAGUCAGAAAUUUGUAGUGUCACUAUUUUAUACUAACAAGGAGUGUAUUGUCUGGGUAAAUACAAAUUGGAAAAGAAACAAUUCUCUUUGUUGAAAAUACGGGAAGAGACAUCCAUCCCCUCCCUUUCUUAGGGCAUUUACUUUAGAAAACUUGCAGAUGGAAAUUUUUGUUUGUGUCUUUAAAAAUGUGUGUAAAUCUUUUUAAAUGUCAAAUAAGCCUCUUGCCUGGUGAAAGGCUCGGGAAUGUCUUACUCUAUGACCUGGGGACCAUCUCAUUGAAAUGUCUUCAUCAUCAAAGAACAUAGUGCCCAUCUCCCAAUUUCUGUGGGUGGGUGGAAACCUAGCUUCAGAAGGUAUUUAGCUUAAAAUUGCAAAACUAUCUUAUGUUAUAAAGAUAUGAUAAUUUAUUUUUCCUUUGGAUAAUACACAGAACAUCAUUCCAAGUAUCCAGUGAAUUUAGGAUGAACUAUGUGUAACAAAUAGUGCUGUCAAGUCCUAUCUAGCACUUGAAGACUAGUUAUUAUUUAUCUUGAGAACAUGUACAUAAUGGAUUGUAUCUGCUUGGCUAUAUAAAAUAAUGAGAUUUAUUUCUGUUUUGCGAUAUCUUAGCACACCUACAAUCUGGUUUAAUGCUUAUUCAAUAAUACAACUGUGUUCUUUCUUUUAUGUUGUAGAGAAGCUUCCCAGGUUGGGAGGAGAUUUUGUUUUUAAUUAUUUAUCACCAACAUAUAGUGUCAUAUUUUCAUUUGCCUCAA